GGAUCAAUAGGUGUUUCUUGUCCACACUAUAUCAUUCUUGCUAAAACUCUCAGAAUUUUAUCAACAUAGUGUAUUGUGACAAGGUAUAAUUCAUCAGUGUCCUACUUGAUUUUUUAUUCCUAAAAUCACAUCUGGCUAUAACCCAUAUCCUUCAUUUCAAACUUAGAGUUUACCAUUUUCUGGUAGUUUAAUCAUAUCAUUAUUACUACCAUCGAUGAGCAUGUCAUUCGCCAAUACAGACAAAUAAUUUUGGGGGACCAAAAAAAUAAUAAAAAAUUCCCUUUAUCAGUGUUCUUCACAUAGACAACGUUUAUCACAUUCAUGUGAUUUUGAAUGAAUUUGACACAUUACUUUCAAAUUUCUCAUGCCAUUGUUUUGGUAUUGCUUAAGUCCGUAUAAAGACUUCAAGUUUACAUUACAACACUUUAUUAUUCUCUUGUCCAGAACCUACAAACCCUUUCCGGUUGUUCAUAUAGAUUUCUUCAUCUAAUUCACCAUUGAGAAAUGCUUUCCUUAACAUCCAUCUGAUGUAUCUCUAGUUAAAUAAUCUCUGCAAUAAGGCAAUGAUUAUUCUAAGGGAUGUUAUCUCGUGCCAGUAGAAUAAGUAAUCGAAGUAAUCAUCCUUCGGUUUGCCUAUUCCUUUACUACAAGCCUUGCUCUGUAUUUAUCAAUUGAAAACAUCUGCUUUAAUUCAUCGUUCUUUAAAAAUCCACUUAUAUCCAAGUGGUUUAACAACCUGGUCUGAAGAUUCAUCACCAAUUCCCAUGUAUGAUUUUGCAAGAUGGAUUCAACUCACUUUACUAGCUCCUUCCAUAAAGGAGCUUCCGGAGAUGACAUAGUAGCUUCUAAACUUUUGGGGUUCAUUUUCUAACAAGUAGUUAGAAAUCUGGUCUCAAAGAUUUGACGUUCUAACUCUUUUGCUACGUCUAGGUUUCAACCUUCCUCUUCCUCGUCUUGAUCAAAUUCCGGAUUUGAUCUUGGUCACGCCUAUAGCAAUGUCAUACUUCUCUUUCGAAGUAUUCAACUCUUGUGUCGAGUUAUAUGGGCACACAUCCUCAAAGAAUAUGGCAUUCCUAGAUUCCAUAAACCGUAUUGACCAUGAUAUCAGGAUUUUCACUCUUAUGCACUAGGAAUCGAUCAGCACUGCUAUUUGUUUGCAUAUCCUAUGAACUACACAAUCAAUAGUUUUCGAUCCUAUUUUUAUAAACCCUUUUAGUAAGGUAAGUGCAACUUAGCCAACACCCCCACCUUCAAAUUUUGUAGGAAGGUUAAAUGACCUUUCCAACCUCAUAUGGUGUUUUUUUAGUUUUUCUUGUAAGGAACUUAUUAAGUAUGUAAUUUGCAGAAAGAAUUGCUUUCUCCCACAAAGGUUUCUGGGGUAAACCUAACUUAUCAACCUGGCAUUCAUCAUUUUCUUUAAGUUCAUUUUUUCUUCUUCUGCAACACCAUUUUUGUUUUGUUGAAAUAGGGUGCAGUAGUUUUGGUGAAUUAUUCCAUGUUGAACAAACUCACACCAUAAAGGUUAUUCAUAUUCACCCAACCACCCCUAUCAACUCUUAAACUUUUUAGUUUUUCCAAGUGAUUUUCAACUUCAGUUUUAUACUGGCAUAAACUUGUUAAUGCCUCAUCCUUGCUUUCGUAGCAGUCCAUGACAUUACCUUGUCCUGUCAUCUAUAAAAGUGAUAAAAAUAUUUUUUAACCGUCCUCGGUUUGAACAAAUUUCAGUCAUCACAAAAUCACUAUGAUUAAAUCAAGAGGUUCAGUACUUCUUUCCACAAUUGAAAAGGUGUUUUGUUAAUUUGGGCCUCCACACAUCUUCACUUUGUGAGUAUUUUUUAAAUAUUAAAUUUUUUGGUAAAUAUUCCCAUGUUAACUAAUCUAACGAAUAGAAUCAAAUAACAUGUCCCAAUCUACCAUGAUCGACCAUGCACAAAUAUAAGACGAUCUCAAUCAAGUAGGGCAGAAGAAAGAUUCAGCAUUCUUAUUCAAUAUUAACUUUUGGAUUACAUGAGUACAUUCUUUUGAAAAUCCUCAUCUAAGUACCCAUUUCACAUAAAACCCAUACCCUCCUUAGUGCAAAUAAACUUAUCUGACACAAAAACAAGCUUAAAUCCAUGCUUGCUAAGUAGAUAUCCUUAAACAAGAAUUCUUCUGCGGAUCUCCGGCACAUGGAGUCCAUUAUUCCAGAGUUAAUUCCUUUCCAGAGGUCAUUUUCAGCACGACCUCUUCCCUUGCCCUUCACCUUGAAAAUUGCAGAGUUUCCCAUGAAAAUUUUGUUCACCCUGGGUGACAACCUGAUAAGGUAGUGAACAUCUCUUUAUUUUUGAGCACACAUUACGAGUAGCCCCGUUCCACCCAUCCACUCCUUGUGUUAGAGCCGAUCAUGUGUUUGCCUCUAGUUUUCAUAGACACCACCGCACACAGGUUCCAUAUCAUUUAACUCCAUUGAAAUAUUUCUCCACAUCAUGUUGUGCUUGAGCAUGCUUUGGCUUUUUGGUCG
rnacentral:lncRNA from 1 species